CCCUUAGACGUUCUGGGCCGCACGCGCGCUACACUGACCAGUGCAACAAGCAUCCGUCCUUGGCCGACAGGCUCGGGCAAUCUUGGAACGCUGGUCGUGAUGGGGAUAGACUUUUGCAAUUUUUGGUCUUCAACGAGGAAUUCCUAGUAAACGCAAGUCAUCAACUUGCAUUGAUUACGUCCCUGCCCUUUGUACACACCGCCCGUCGCACCUACCGAUUGAAUGGUCCGGUGAAGCCUCCGGAUUGGCGCGCACCUCGGUGCCGCCGAGAAGUUGGCUAAACCUUACCAUUUAGAGGAAGGUGAAGUCGUAACA
rnacentral:rRNA from 1 species